GCCCGAGUGGCGGAAUGGCAGACGCGGCGGACUCAAAAUCCGCUCCAAGCGAUUGGGUGGGGGUUCAAGUCCCUUCUCGGGCACCA
rnacentral:tRNA from 2 species